rnacentral:rRNA from 1 species
AUACGGAGGGUGCAAGCGUUGUUCGGAAUUACUGGGCGUAAAGCGCGCGUAGGCGGUCUGUUAUGUCAGAUGUGAAAGUCCUCGGCUCAACCGGGGAAGUGCAUUUGAAACUGGCAGACUUGAGUACUGGAGGGGGUGGUGGAAUUCCCGGUGUAGAGGUGAAAUUCGUAGAUAUCGGGAGGAAUACCGGUGGCGAAGGCGACCACCUGGCCAGAUACUGACGCUGAGGUGCGAAAGCGUGGGGAGCAAACAGGAUUAGAAACCCUUGUAGUCC